UAAUACGUAGGCAGCAAGCGUUGUUCGGAGUUACUGGGCGUAAAGGGUGUGUAGGCGGUUCGCCAAGUUUGGUGUGAAAUCUCCCGGCUCAACUGGGAGGGUGCGCCGAAAACUAGCGGACUCGAGUGCGGGAGAGGGAAGCGGAAUUCCUGGUGUAGCGGUGAAAUGCGUAGAUAUCAGGAGGAACACCUGCGGUGCAGACGGCUUCCUGGACCGCCACUGACGCUGAAACACGAAAGCGUGGGUAGCAAACAGGAUUAGAUACCCUGGUAGUCCACGCCCUAAACGAUGCGGACUUGGUGUGGGCGCUUCACUGUGUCCGUGCCGGAGCUAACGCGUUAAGUCCGCCGCCUGGGGAGUACGGUCGCAAGGCUG
rnacentral:rRNA from 1 species